rnacentral:rRNA from 1 species
GUGCCAGCAGCCGCGGUAAUACAGAGGUGCCGAGCGUUAGGCGGAAUCACUGGGCUUAAAGCGUGCGUAGGCGGGCGUCUAAGUGUCUUGUGAAAUCCCGCGGCUCAACCGCGGAACUGUUGGGCAUACUGGACGCCUUGAGGCACACAGGGGCGAGCGGAACAAGUGGUGGAGCGGUGAAAUGCGUAGAUAUCACUUGGAACGCCGACGGUGAAAACAGCUCGCUGGGUGUGUUCUGACGCUGAGGCACGAAAGCCAGGGGAGCGAACGGGAUUAGAAACCCGUGUAGUCC